UUGGGUUCCUUAUCUUCUUGGUCUCCCUCUUCUAUCACUUCUCUCUCAUCAGAAAUCUCGCAGCAUCUGAGUUUUUACUCGAAAUGAAAAUGCAAAUCCAAACCAAAACCUAAAUGUUAUUCUUUGCCUCAAUCUUGGUCUCUCAUCUUCUCUGUUUUUUCUUAUACUCAAAUUCAUCGUUGAAACCCUAACUAACUCGAAAUCAUGUUUUCCUCUAUGAAAAUCUGCAUCUGUGUACAUCGACGGAAGAUUUGAAUCCACCAACUCCAGAUGCAAUCUGAAAAUAUUGCUGGGGUAUUUAUCUGGAAAGAGAAUCCUAGAAACAUCCAGUUUGGCUUGUGGUUGGAUGAACAACUUCAUGAGAAACAACUUCUAAGCACAUCUGCUGGCUUAGGACAGAUUCUGACACAGAUCUUUUAUCAUAAAGUCAUUGGAGUUACGAACUUCUUUUUGUACUUAGAAGGAAAUAUUGAACUUAACUUCCAACAGUUUCUGCCAUCCUGGAGUUUAUUUAUCGCUCAUGACUGAAGAGUUUUGGAGGUAAAUUUAUCCAAAGUUAAGGAAAGAAGCCGUAGUUUAGUCUUGGAGUUGUUAAACUAAAGAUUGGGUUGGUAUCUUUGAAGAAACUAAGAUUCCCCGCCAAAGCAAUGAAUUUAUUCUUGAACUUCUCCGCGGUGUCCAUUUUGAUUUUGAAAGGUUCAUUAGUGACCUUAAGCUCACCGUUUUGGGUAAGGCUCGGCUUGGGUUGGCUAUGGAAUAGGAUCUCAAAAAGCCAUUCAGAUUCGUUAAUAGUUACAUCAGAGCUAUGGUGAAGUUCAGCGUCAAUCGGGUUGAUAUCAUGGUUAUUCAAGUUAUCUCCAUCCUUGAUAUUCUUGUUAAAGAUGUCAACUCCAUGAGAAUCAGGUGUGUUGUUGAAGCAUGCUCAUGCAUGAUGUAUAUAUUUCUAUCUCUGAAUUUCGUAUCAUGUGUCCAGUUAAUCUAGUGACACUGUGCGGCUAAAAUGUGCAGGUUUAGUCAAUUUUAAAUGGGGAUACAAGCUCUUGUAUUUCUUGGUAAAAAUCAUAUGUUGGUUCUUUACAAAUUGAUCGGCUCGAAUGUUGUUUGUUUGCUCCUUUUUUCAGAUAGUGGUACUCGUAGCACUUACCUGAACUAUUGUUACUUUCUGUCAGUUGUAUCAACACUAUUGUUAGAACCCUUUAUCUUCUGAAAUGCUUAUACUCGUGGCAUUUCCGUGGCAACUUUUUAACUUGCCACGGUGGGUAUGCGUCUACCCAUAAGUAUAUUCUACUUUGAGUUGGGAUUCGUUUGUUUGUGUAAGGACCCUCAAGCUCGUCAACGUUAUUAGACUAGUCAAGUGACGAGUUAGCCGAUAGUGACUCGAUUAGUUUAACACGAACGUUAAUUAAUAGGAAUUAAUCUAACAACGAUCUAGACACGAAACUAGUAGCACUGGGUAGAACUCGAAAAGUUACCCAGAAUGGACUACUCGCACGCGUCAUUCGGACACUGGGCGAAGAGGAUUUAUCGAUUUGUUUUCGGAGGAUAGAAUAGUAAUUUUGGGUAUUACCCUUGUGUCUGCACGUGUAGCAAUUUGGGCAGCCUUAUCUCUAAACGGAUCGAAGAGAAUAAUCAUUCUUUUAUUCUUCUUCUCUUUCUUCUUUCCUCUUCUCUCUUCUUUUUUUCUUUUUCUUUUUCUUUCUGUCGAUUUCAAGUUGACGAAGCGAAUUUGAUUUGAUGUGGGUGAUUUGUAGAAGCUCGUAGUUAUAUCAGUGGAGAAGGUGAUGCUGUUAAAGUUUGAGUUCCAGGAGAAGAAGAGAUUGAUGCAGCUGUAAACUGGAUAAUUAGAGAUUGAUUGAGGGUUUGUGUGAAAUUAAGGGUGGAUGUAACAAAUUGAACAUGAGUUUUGAGUAUGUUUUAUGAAGAAGAAGAUGAGUGUGUUGAUUUGAGGAUUUGAUUUGAGAAAUCAGGAAUUAAUGUUUCAUUGCUAUGAGAUUGAUUGAGUAAUUGAUGAUGGGUUGUAUGUUAAUUGAAUCAUUAAGAAGAAGGAGUUGGUGUUUCUGUUGAUUAUGAAAAGAGGAUUGAGAUGUUGUUAUUAACAGAAGAUAGGGUUCUGAAGUUAAGGUUUUCUGGAAUCAGUUUGAGAAUGAAAUUGAACGCUUUGAGGAUUAAUUGGUGAUGGUGAUUAUUGAGACUAUUAGAUAAACAGAAUCAAGGUAAAGAAUAAUUGGUUUCCAUGGAAUUUAAGGUAAUCCUUCCUUAAGAUGUUUAAUUCAGUUUUUCAGUUUUAUUGAAUUACUAUGCGUGUUUGAUAAUUGGAUUAAGAUUAAGAUGGACAUGGUUGGUAUAUAAUGGAGAUGAAAUUGUUUAACUGGUAAUUGAGACUAGUAGAGGCUCAGUUUGUUGUGCAGGCAUGAACCGAAAUGGGAGAGGUUUGGUUUCAUUGCUAUGGAAAAUAUUAUGAUAGUGUUGGUCCUGUAGAGUGUAUGGAGUAGAAGUUGUGUAGUUGAAACUAUAAGUUGUUAUGCAUGUGGUUGGGUUAAGAGUUGAGAUGCAGGGAUGUGUGUUUGUUGGAGUUUAGAUGUUGUUGGAUAUUGUCAGUGAUAUCAGAUUGAUAGGCAGUUCAUUGAGGGACAUGAAUUGAGUUUGGUAGUGGUGUUGUAAUGAUGCCACAUGGUUAAUGAUGAACAAGUUGUUUGGGAUGUUGUCUGGAAUUGGUUGAAGUGAUAAUGAUGUGUUGUUGGUGUUAUGUGAGUUGUUGAAGUUCGGAUGUGCAGGUUGUGGUUGUAAUGGAUCUGAGUUAGGUUAUGUUGAAGUAUAUAGAGUUUGGGUUACAAGUUGAGUUAUAAGUUAGACCUGCAGGUGGCUAUGGUUGGGUUUCAGUGAUGAUUAUAGAGUUGCAUUUAGUAUUUGUUGUAAAAGCUUGGAACUGCAUUUGCAGGUAGGCUUAAUUUACAAUUGUAUCUGAGAUUGAAUUAUAAAGUUGUUGUUUUUGAAUGAA